AGAGUUACAAAGAAAAAAAUGGCUUGUUGAUUACUCUCUCCACAUUGAAUGUAGGAUGGAAAGGGAGCUAACUAUGGGAUGAGAAUUUUUAUUAAAAACAAGAGUUGCAAGUGGAGCACUUGUGAUUCCUGCCUUCUACACACUGAGUAUUUUUACAGCAGUGCAUCUGCAGUACUCAAGGAAUCUCCUUGAGUAGAAAGACAGUGGCAGUUCACUUUAUUUAGCAGUGUUUCUCCAUGAUGUGCUUGCUAAAAGAAGUGAGAUAUCUGGAAAAAAAUUAGACUUGUUUGUGAAAAAAACCCAAAAAACUGACCAAUAGGCUACCUAGAAAGCAUCCAGCCUGGAUCUCAGCUGCAAAGGAGAAAAUUUCUUGUGUUGGUCUUGCCCGGAGUGCUGGCCCUGCUGGACUCAACCCUCUUGCCAUCCAGUGGAUUAAAGCUGAGACCCAAGCCACCAGCAAGAUUGAAAAUUCUUCAAAGUGAUUUACAUGCAGUUCUUCGCACAGCUGUUUGCUGGGGGUGUGUGCUCUGAGUGGGGGAUCUAUCAGCAGUCUGGCUACCUCUGUGUGAUCUUGGGUCCAUGUCUUUCUCGUGCUGCAGAUGCCAGAGCUGGAUGCAGAACUCCAGGUGGGGUCUCAUGAGAGCAGAGUAGAGGAGCAGGACCACCUCCCUUGACCUGCUGGCCACACUGCUUGCUUGCAGCUGAAGAUGCAGUUGGCCUUCUGGAGUGUGGGCUUACCCAAGAGAGACUCCGGUUAGAAAAGCUUUGCCUGCAACAGCACAUAAUCUACUGGCAUUUUGGAUCUGCAGGAGAAAACCAGAAUGUUUCCACCAUCAAAGGUCUCUUGGAGUUGUUGAAAGAAGGCUGGAACAGUCCUGGGUUUUGGACUUUCUUUUCUUAAGGUCUCCAUCUAGUUGAUUUUGGAAAGCAUGAAGUGUUUGAGAGGAUUAGAGACAGCAGAAGAAGAGGAAUUCGGAGGGAGCCCUGAUUCCUGAGCUCAGUGCCCGUUGAUGCCUAAGAGUUUGCUGACUAGAUCCCAGCUCCAGGUUUCUGGGCGGGGCACUUCAGCCAAUCACAUUUGUUGAAGAAGAUCUCACACACAUUUCAACUUGGCCUCCUUUCCUGCCAAUAGCACCUGGCAAGAGAGCUACGAGUCUCUGAAGAGUUAAGAGCUCUGGCGUUGUCUGCAGCUCAGAGGAAAGGCUAGCCAUGGAUUCCAGCAUUGCUUUUUAUUAUGUUGCAGCUGUACUGCACUCAAUUCUACUUGGACAAAUUCCUGAACAAGAAUCUAUUUCCCUCACUUCACUUUUGGAGAUAGGAACUUGGCACUCAGUCAAGACUUCAAAUAACCCUUGUUCUACAUUCAGGAGAGCAUCAGCUUACUCUGUGGUUUGAGUCACAAACAGUUCUGAUCCAUAUGCCAUAGCUCUGGUCCAAAAGCUGUAAAUUUGUGCUGCUGGGAUGCUGUUGCUCUUUG